rnacentral:lncRNA from 1 species
GGAUCUCGACAUCCGAUGGGGCUCCCACCAGAGUAGGAAUCUAAGCUGGUAGGUCGAUUGGGUGCAACGGCAUUCACACAAAAAUUUGGAAAGUACCUAAACUCUAUUGUGAUAAUGAAGCUAAAGGGUGGGGGACUACAUCCCCUAGGAUGGCGGACCUGAGGGGCUACACAUCCCUCAGCGUCGAGGACUCCUUCCUUGGGAGAGCGCUACUGGGCCCUGAGGAAGUGCUAGCCGCAAGCUAGGCAA